GGAUAGGUUGAAAUACAUGUGGGGGAUUAAGAGUAUGAGUAGUGUGAUGAGCACUGAGUAAUAUAUAAAAUCUUUGAAUCACUGUAUUGUACACCUGAACCUAAUAUCACACUGUAUGUUAAUGAUGCUAGAAUUAAAAAA